rnacentral:lncRNA from 1 species
AUGCAUUUAUGAAAACUUCUCAAGUGGUAGGGGUAGGUAGUACUUCUUUCUUAAGUCACCACUAGUGUUCUACUUCACUGUUUAGCAUAAAGGCUGCUAGGAAAACUUUCUACUCCUCAGUCAGGUUUAAGACAGAGAAAAGCUUCUCUAUCUGUAGAAUUUAGGCUUCGGUUACUAAGGGAUCAGGGCCACCUUCAAAAUGUGGCAAGUUAAGCUUCCUAAACUCCACUAUGUUAUGGGAAAUGGACCUUUCAGUCGUUCAGUAUUCUGGGGCAGGAGAUGGACAAGGGUUGGCUUUAUUUUAUCCUACAGCUGCAGUCAAUCCUUUGAUGGCUCGGAAAAGUUCGACAAAUUCAUACUUGGUCGGGUGAUUCGGGGCUUCAGAUUGCUCAAUACGCUUACGAAUGGUCUUCCUCGGGUUAUUCUU